GUGCAGAUGAUGAGUCCCAAAUAGGACGAAACACGCGUCCUGGAU
rfam:Schistosoma haematobium scaffold352_93, whole genome shotgun sequence.